rnacentral:pre_miRNA from 1 species
UGAUGAUGACGAUGACGAUGAUGAUGACGAUGACGAUGAUGAUGAUGAUGAUCAUCAUCAUCAUCCUUAUCAUCCUUAUCAGCAUCGUCAUCGUUC